rnacentral:rRNA from 1 species
UACGUAGGUGGCAAGCGUUGUCCGGAUUUAUUGGGCGUAAAGCGCGCGUAGGCGGUUUCUUAAGUCUGAUGUGAAAGCCCACGGCUCAACCGUGGAGGGUCAUUGGAAACUGGGAGACUUGAGUGCAGAAGAGGAAAGUGGAAUUCCAUGCGUAGCGGUGAAAUGCGUAGAUAUAUGGAGGAACACCAGUGGCGAAGGCGGCUCUCUGGUCUGUAACUGACGCUGAUGUGCGAAAGCGUGGGGAUCAAACAGG